GGAAAAUCCUGUUUCAAACAAUACAAUUCAUGAAAAUUACCAAUUUGUCAUAUGACAUCCAUAUGGUUGAACACGAAUCAUUUUCAAGUUAUUCUGUCCUCGAGUUAGACUAUCAUGAAUAUAGCUCCUAUACAACCAAAACCCUGCGCUGUCGUCACUCCUUUGUGACUUGUGUGCUGCUUGGGAAGCAUGCGGUCACACAUUGUACGAAAAUGCGGGCAUAUGAACCGAACAAUCGGAAAAACCCGCAUGACUGAAACGAUGUAGAUACUGUUGGAAUCAGCCAUGGCCUGAAAGGCCCUGGGUCAGAUGGAAUGUUAUUUACCCAUGGCGCCUGUUAACCAAACUGACUUCCCUCGGGAUCAACCUGAGAGUCCAUUUUUCUUUGGUGGAAAUGUAUCAAGCGCGCUGCCAUUUGACCAUGGAGGCCAAUUUGGAAGUCCUGCUUAUGCCUCUUGCCGCGCAUUUCUAAGUAAGUACUUAGAAGCUUACCCCACGGUAGCAUUUGAUACUUAGCGCCGUGCCCCAGGCCGGGCUGUCAUACCUCAAUAUGGUGAGGUGACACUAGCCAGAAGCUUGCGCUUGCUGGCUUACACCGCAGAGCUAUUGGACAUCAUCCAGGACUACCGGGGCUAUAGCUGUGGAGGCUCUUUUGCAGGUAUGAUCUAAUACAGGCUACCGACGAUAAGCUUAUCGUCGAUUAUCACCCCCAAGUGUUCGACGGAGUGAUAGUGCAAUCGACUACACUGGCCACCGGAUGCUGCUCUGACUAUCGUUUGUUCACAACCAUCAUCUCAGUUUUGUGGUGAGCCAAUUCCAAUUUCCUGCAUCUCAUCCAUUGCUCCACAACUGCGAUCGAGUGGGCAGCAGCCUGGGGUCAUCCAUGAACCACGUGGUCAUGUUGUGGGGGGGGGGGUUGGUUUGGGCAAAGACCACGAUUCAUACAAAUUUAAUUUGUUUUGUAUGAACCAAAGAUCACGCCGUGGGGGGGGGGGGUUGGUUUCGGAAUCUCCCAAAAAAUGACCACGUGGUUAAUGGGCAGUUCACAAUCCCACUUCUUCCAUUGAAUUGGAGGCGAUAUGCCUACAUCUUACACGUGGUUAAAUGGAAGCAUGUACGCAUAUGAUCUUCACCACUGCAUCCUAUUCUACAUCAUAUACGACUUCGUGAUGCCUGGGUUCGAUCAAUUAACCGUAGACCUCCAGUGUAAAGGCGUCAGUGAAACCGACGAUUGCCACUCCCAGUGGGAACUUUACCCUUAACAUUUCAUCGAACAUGGCAUUUCAAAUUCAGUAUUUAAUGUAACAACUCAUCACAACUUGUUGAUACAGACAACUUCACGAACUCAUAACACCAGGCGAGUUAAUUACACUAGUUUACAGCAUUUUUGAUGUCGGUAAGCUGAUGAUCAUUUUUGUUGUAGAAUCAUGCCCUGAGUUCGAAAACGCGAAGGAAAAAAAUUACAGUAGAGCGGACAUUUUUUUCGACUUUUCAUACAAGGUUGAUGAUUUGAAAUCUAUUUUUGUUCUAUUUUUAAGCAACGUCGUCCACUUCACACAUCUCAUUCUCCGUAAUCAAUGCUUCGAUUGAGCUGAUUUUUUACUGUAACUUGCUUACAUAUGAUAAGUCAUAUAAACAUUGAGAAAGAAUUUUUAGAUUGAUUUUUUCUUAUAGAAAAAAAUACAUUUCUUCAUAUAUUUUUGGAAAUUUAGCUAAAAUUUAAGGAGAUUGUCCCUAAAACUCGCCAAUAUCUUGAAUUUCAUCAAUCUGACGCAAAACCUGCAUUCAGAUGAUCGAAUGGUAUUGUAUUCAGCUUUCAAUUUAUGGAAAAAGAUUAGAAAUUGGUUGAACAAAACGCAAGAUAUUUAAAUUUUAGUAAAUUCAAUAUUUUCAAAAGUUGUAAAACUCUUAAUAUUGAGUUUCUAAAACUCAAAAACUGCUCUGCUUAAUAUUUUUUGAAGCACGGUUUCGAAAUCAGUGUUAAAUUGUACUUCAAAAAUUUUGGUCGUUGACAGAAGUUCACGACUUUCGUUUUAUUUUGUAAACUAGUGUUAUCUUGUGCUCAUUAGGGCAUCUACAAGUUUUGGCCAAAAGCACUUCUUUGUCAUCGGUCCGUCUAAAUUCAACAUUCUCCGCUUGAUCUACAGCAAAUCAUCAGUCUUAACAGUAUUAUGAAUAACGGCCGGGGUUCUGCUAAACCGAACUAAAAGCCAAAAAGUUUAUUCCGAGAUAUUUAAGGUUAAAGUUCAACCACUCACAAAUAAACAACAAGCUAAGAUUAUUUGAAACUUUUCCGCACACAUGUAACUUACAAGCCUUUAUUAACCAUCAGAAAUGAAGAAUAAAUGAAAAUUAACUGAAAUCAUUGAUAUAAUUACAUUUAAUUUCUCAGUACUUUGCACUCAGUUCACUCUGGCUGAACAAAAACAUUGGAAUAUGGUUUAUAGUUCAGUGUGGCUGACUGUGUUUCUUUGGUUCAGAGAAAACCAGUCGGAUUGUGAAAAACAUCCUGAUGUUUCAUCGUCUAUGAAGUUUGAAAUCGAUAUCACUCACAAUCCUUUACAUGAAUCAGAGAGGACGCGUAUAGUAUGGUAGCACGGAGGUCUCAAAAUAAGUUUGAAAUAUGAACGGCGGAAGCCCAUCCAAUUCAGCCCUUCCCACCCAUGCUUUUUUUCAUAGGCAGUGCAUGUGCAGGCACAGAGCAAGAGUGAUUAUGUCAAAUGAUGUCCUUGCAUGUCCUGAGGUCCUGAGAUGUGAAGGUGGAGCAAUUUGUGUACUUCAAAUUUAUGCUGGUCGAAGAAAACCAUUAAAAUGUACUGCCAAAGUGAACUAAGACAAAAGUCAACAAUCAAAAAUAUGAAAGAGAUUCAAACUUGGAUCAUUUCAGUGAUAACCAAGCGCGUUACCUCUAGGUCAUUUCACCUAGCUGAAGGUCAGUCGUUAAGUCCGAAUCAAGUUAUAAACAUUCUACUUAAAUGGCGUUUUCGCGAAAACGCCAUUUUUCGAUCAGCCAAAGUGAACCAAGUGUUUGAUUUUUUUUCAAGCUCUAUUACUCUAAUUAGCCUUGUUGUUCAAUGACGGCUUCUGUGUUAAAUUAUCAGUGUGAGGAGUGUCGACAUAUUGCAGGUAUUCAAAACCAUUUGAUUUUUGUAUUGUUCAGAAUAAAUUGAUUCUAAAAUGCAGUGGAUUUGGUUCGGUCUGGCUGAAUGUGAUUUGGAAAAAUGGCGAUCAGUGCUAUCGAAACAUAAUUGGAUCCUCCAACACCCACAUUUCUAAUUACGUGUUCAAUUCUAUCAACGAUUGUUACUAUGAGUCGAUUAGAAGUAAGAAAUCUGACGGUGACGAGGAGAACUUGAAAUGUUCAUCUUCUGGGCCAAAACUGAAACAUUUCGCUGAUUCUAUAGAAUGGUUUACAGUUCACUCUGGUUUGAUGCAAUUUUAUUUUAUGUAUGUUCUGCCACACAGAAAUUUUAAAUUUACUCCACAACGAGCUGUCAGAAUUACUGGAUUUUUACAUGGAAGGAAGGUCAUCUCAUUCUUCAUCCAAUGGUUAAGAAAACUCAAUUUUUCAAAAAAAAAAUGGUCUUUGGUUCGGUUUAGCAGAACCCCGACCAUGUAGCGAUAUCUGAAAGUUAAUAUCCAUAGACUUUUGCUAUAAUAGUGAUAUUAACCGUCUAAAGGCAGCUCAGAAUUAUAAGUUUUUAGUGCGCAGGUGCUUACUUAAAAGGCUUUCAGCCCACUGUCAGCACGUCGUUGAAAUGUACAUAUAGUGAUUUGUCUCUCAUAAAAUAUCUCCCUGUUCCGUUGAGUUAUCAACAGUUUAAGGGCAUGCGCGUUACAAUCUCAAGAUGGCCACCACAAUGGUCAACUUUUGGGCCUACUCAAGAUUCUGACUGCACAAAUGUCAUGAAAACCUUAACCACACUGCACCGAUUCUUUUUAUUUUAAGCUUAUGACAAGUAUGCAAGAAUAAAGUACUGAGAUUUCCAGACAUUUGUCUUUCUUCUUCUUCUUCUUCUUCUUCUUUUUGUGGUUCUACGUCCACACUGGGACUUGGCCUGCCUCGCUUCAACUUAGUGUUCUUUGAGCACUUCCACAGUUAUUGAAGGGCUUUCUUUGCCAGCCAUUGCUUGAAUUUGUAUAUUGUGAGGCAAGUACAAUGAUACUCUAUGCCCAAGGAGUCGAGAAAGUUUUCCCGACUGGAAAGAGGAAUCAAACCCGCCUUCUCCGGACUGGCGAUCCAUAGCCUUAACCACUAGGUUAAUUGGAGACCCACAACGUAAAAUGUAGUUUUAAGUUUACUUAACCUGAUGACAGUUUGCUGAAAAUCUUGAGGCUCGAUUUUAGAGUCUUUUGGUGUGGCCGAGAGUGAAGGAAGGGUCGCAUGAAAAAAGCACACAUGCAGAGCUUGGUCUAAGCGAAUGUGUAUUCGGAACGGGCGUGUGUAGCCAGGUAUUCUGAUACGGGUAACUGGAUCCCAGAAGAGCUACCAACCAUGUGACAACGGGCAACACACGAAACACCCAGUGAUCCAGUGGUGAAUAUUCCGUUCGACGAAAAGUUUUCACCGAUUGCAGCGGGAAUUGAACCCACACUCCGAGGCUUACGAAGAGGCCAGACAACUGACGUCCCUAACCGCAUGACUACGAAGCCAACAGUUAAUAUUUUUAUACAUACUCAUUAUGGCAGAUAUUUUGAUUUUUACAUAAAAAUGACUCAUGUGAAAAAUUUGACUGUUAUAAACAGACCACAAUUUUCUAUUCUGCUCACAAACGUUUGCAAAUACUAGUUCAACUCAGCAAAUCUAAAAGUCUCGAAUUUUUCAACUUUGUUACUAUAUGGUUUAAGUGAAUCCAAACAUGUAUGACGACGAAUAGCGUAUAAGCCGUGGACGUGAAACGUGACCCAAUAACCUUUGCAUAUGUUUAUUCUGUGUGCGUAAUCAACGGGGCAAUUACUCGAGGCAAAUUGUUCUACGUAAGCUGAACGUAAAUCCCGGUAAGUAGUAAGAACGCUAUAAGGUCGGACGAACCGCAAUAACGAGUCCAACUAAUAACACUCCGGGCACUGCUUGUCUAUAUGCUAUGCGAAAAUAUCGAGCAAAGUUGCAUGGUCUAGUUCAGCCCAAUUGCGGUAACUGACCAAUCUUUUCGCAUUCACCUUCCGAGGCAAGUUAGGAUAGGUCUGUAUGAAAGUGCCUACACUACACCUAUCCAAAAGCCGGUACCAAUUUUGGCCCACUCUUGUUUGGAUUUUGUUUUUUUGCUUCGCGCCUAACCACAGCCGUGAGAAUUCGUGCUGGAAAACGAGGAAAGAUUUGCAAAUGAUGAAUAGUGUUGGCAAAUUACCACAUGAGCUUAAAUUGAUCAUGCUUAGCUAGUAGAAUUGGCUCCGAUUCUAUUGGUGAGUUUCGAUUUCGGGCGAAACGGAUAUUCUUACACUUUAGAACCUGAUACCGACAAAGCAGAAGGGUUGUGUGUUUAUGGCUAAUAUCGAUGAUUAUCUCCGGUGGUUGGAAGUGUAAUUUCAAAUUAUGUUUGCUUAUAGCAUCAUCGAACUGAAUUGAUGGUUGAAAGGUGCUUGCGAAAAAAGAAUUCAAAGAAAGUAGUAAUCUUCCCAUCACAUCGGAGUGGUCCGAUUCUCUAAGUACGUGUGGUUCAAUUUUCAUGGUUGAAUUAAUAAUUGAUUUUAUAACGUUUAAACACGAUCGCCUCGCAUAGUAGGUAAUUGUUGUGUGCAAUGCCAAGUAUUAAUUGAUUCAAAAUUAAUACCAUCCGUCCUCCUUAUUCUUGUUUUACAAGCUACAUAACAUCAUCAUAGGGUCUUCCGCGUCUUUCGAUGAAGGUUGUCGCUAUCGAUUGCCAUCGCAAAGGGCUUCUCCGGCAUGCGUGAGACAGCAAUCUUGAUCGAUUGUGGUAUGUGCGGUUUGGAGAGAUGGAUAUCGGCUAACACCAUGCCUUGUCCCAGCUUGGGUUUGACCGGCCCAGUCCUCCUCAUGGAUGGGCAGCGUGGUUCCCACAUUGUCUCUCCUUAUCAGCUCCUCCUUUCGCAUGAUAGCGCUGACCGAUCGACCGAUAGAGAAAUCCAGCGAUCGGUUGCACCACCUAACCAGUAAUCAGAUUUACAAUUUAACGGCACUUAGGAUUGUAAUUCAUACGGCGAUCCGGGAAGAUGCCAACCCAAGCCCUACCAUGUUAUUAUACACAACUUCUGUUACAUGGUGGUUUCUGGAUGUGCAAAAAUGUCAAUAUCGCUUUUUGUUUGGGUAGACAUUCCUUGAUCCAGGAAGAACAAAUACACUUGAUACAUUGAAACAGCACAAAGAUCGGUUGUUUGGUAUCAGCUUUCACAUAUCAGAAAUUCUUACAUCCAAGAUAUGUUUCCUCUUCUUGACAUCGGAUUCCAACCGAUAUGGGAACGCUUCAAUUCUGAUAUUAACCAUAGUCGUGCAUUGGGGUCAUUAUGACCCAGACAGGCAUACUGAGCUUGCUCUAGGUCAGCGCGGUGCGCGUCAGCUAAUGCACGAAGAAGUUUAAAAUAGUUUUCCACCGAACAUCCCAACUAACAUUUUCAGCGAUAUAAGCUUCAGUCAUUUGCUUUCUGUUGUGUAACCAUCGAAUAAAACCAGUCAACGCUGAAUAAAAAGGAAGCUAGUCAAAUAUAAAUCAUAAGCUAAUACACGACUGCAAAACAAGCACCAUACAGCUACCAAACUCGGUUUUCAGAAAUCCAUCGCUUGUCACUGGGGUUGCCUUUACUCCACUCUAUUCCAACUCCGGGAAAUUUCCCGGAAGAUGUGAAAACUUGAGCAAAUCGAAUAGGAGUUCCCACUAACAAAACAGCUGCUACUAUACAGUCAAUUCGUUAUACUGACAAAUCCCAAAACCAGCAGCGCUUUGAAGGCCGUUAUGCGAUUUCAUUACAGCUAGAAGCUGUAAUAAAGAAACUGUUGGCAUACCAACACGGCUUGUCAAAUGUAAACAUUAUUGUCAAAACAAACUUUAAGCGGGAUAUAUAGCUAGUACACAAUUUCUCUGUGCUGUGAAAUUAUAUGGAUUGCGUUUAUUGCACUUUAAUUCAAUGCCAGAAGAUUUGCCGCAAGAUGUGCAAAUCGAGUAAGAGUCCCAGCCAAUACAACAGCUGAUUUUAUACAGUACGUUUUUUAAUGUUGCCAAAUACAUACAACAGCAGCGCUUUAUAGCUGUUUAAAGAACUCUUUCAGCUAGAAGCUGUGACGAAGAACCUGCUGGCGCAACUACACAGCUUGUUCAAUGUAAAUAUUAUUGCGUUUGACGGUUCACAGGCUUUUGCAGCAAGAUGAAGUUGGGUAAGGUUUCUUGUAGCACAAUUAUGAAGCCUUGUCUGGAGUAACACAAAACGGGUUAUUUUCUGUGCUAUUUAUCCCUCUAAUACCCAAUCCCGCCUUUAGACGGGGUAUAGUAUGAGCAUUUUUGUAAUUUUUGUUUCGUAGAAAAUCAAAUAUUUUAUAUUUUUGGCUGAUAUUUAGGACUGUUCUGUGUAUCUCAAAAUGUUUUUUGGUGUAUUUUAAAGCGUAUUUACAUUUUUUAAAAAUCAUUGAAAAAUUGAUGUUUUAGUCACCUUUUAGAAGUCAUUGUUUAUUUUGAAUCGCUACAAUUAACAUAUUUUAAAUUUUUCCCAAAUCAUUCUAUCCUUGUUUAAUAGUUUAAGGGAAUCAAAUACACUCUAAAAUUAUUUUCCUUAAAAUUACACGGAAAAUAAAAUUUUCGGUGAAAAAAAUUUAAAAUAAUAAUAUUUCAACAAUAAUCAUAAAAUCUCAAAAUGUUUUCAUCUCAAAAAAUCCGUUCCCCAAAUUGGCUUCCAGGAAAAAUAUAAAAGUGUGGGGAUGUCUAAAAUAAAAUCAGAAAAAUCAAAAACUGAAAUUCACGAAAUCGAGAAUUAAAAAAAAUCAUCUUCCAAAACAUGUUUAAAUCGAUUUUAAAUGACGAAAAAUGAUAUUUAGAUCAAAAUCAAAAAUUUGGGUAUUAGAGGCAGUGUGGCAGCGAGGACAUCAUCGGGAUCAGUGGAUACGGUGAUCGGGGGUUCGAUUCCAAGUAGCGGCAAGUACUUUAAUUAUUCAAUUUUAAAAGCAAGCAAGGAUUCCAGUUCCACAUGUAUUGCGUCACGGUAUCCAUAAACUAAUUAUAUUUAAUCGAUUAAUUUGGGGAUGCCGUAUAACUAUUAUUUAACAACUGUGAAAAGGCUGAAAAAGUGCCUUCUCAAAAUGUUAUCCAGUUAGUGGUUACAUAGGAGUCGAGAAAAGAGCUAUGACUUGGUGGCAUAGAAGCUGCUCGCACAGCAUGUACAAGUGGAUUAAGUUCGCCAGAUUCAUUGGUAUAGGGCUUGCAUAGAAGCUUCCGUCCAUAUAUACAACACAGUAACUCAGCAUGAAGCCGUAUUGAGCACGCUUUGUUGACGUUUACAUUCACAAUAAAUUUUGGUUGGAAUCUACUUUUAAGAGGAAACAAACCAUCAUCCUUUACCAGAAAAUCAAAAGCAGUUUUUUCGCUGAAAUCACAACCAAUUUUGAUGAAAAUGUAUCACUGUACUCUACUCACCAUCUGGAUAACAGUGAAAUAAUUUUCAUUGACGGUUUUUGGAUUAGCAAGAAAAUUGCUUUUAAAUAAGUGAUGGUUGCUGAUAACUGAAUGAUGGUUAUUUGAGCCUUAAAACAAAGUGUUAGAUUCGUGAAUGCAAUAUUUCAGGAGUUGUUGUUGUCGUUUGUUUUAUGUUUUAACGACCCUCUAAUCAAUAAUGAUCAUUCGGGUCGGAAGGAUUUCAGGAGUGAUACAGGAUCAAAAUAGGUGGAAACCCAUGUUUUGCACAUGGCCAAAUCUCGACCGUUAUUGUUUUCCUUUUAACCCGGGAGCAGUCGCGUCGUGUACUGAGUACACGCACCAUGAAAAAUGCACGCAUGUGGUACACAACGUGAGCGCGGCGUCACUGCAGGUAGUCAAAGACGCGACAGCUCGAGGGUUAAUAACCUGUAACUUUAAACUGCUUAAGCCUGUUCACAGUUUUUUCUUCUAUUCGAAAACUAAUGAAAACGGCUGUCGAACACUAUCAUUUAAAUCCACCGUGAUUUUUUGAAAAUUUGCGGAUGUUUUUAAAACAAUAAAGUUAAAGCUAGCAUUUUUAUUCUGUUUUAGAUGGUUAAGUUGAAAACGCCUAAACGUUUUAGGCAAAUUUAACUUUCCCUAAAACUUGCGUAGUUGGCCACCAUCACUAGCACCACGCUGAUGCUGAGUGCAAAAAGCGAUUUUUUUAACGUGUUGUACAAAAUACAACAGCACGAUCACUCGAGGGUUAAGUGCCUUAAAUAAUGCACAAUUCACUCUUCGAUUUUGAGAUUCUCUUUAUCUUUUUUUUUGGCACCCCUGGAUGAUGAACAAGCAUCUCGGGACUCACCUUCCCUUCCGAAGAAAGAUCUCACAUAUUUUUUGUGAGUUUGUCGGGAGUGAGAUUCGAUCCCAGAUCCUCGAAUAUAGUCCACUGCAUGAAUUUAUGUUGGCCUGCUUACUCUCACAGAAAGUUUGACAGUAUUCAGGCCAGUAUAAAUUCGUGCAGUAAUCCAUUGUGUUGUUCUUUGCUGUGCAUGCAUCGCUCCUGUAUGGGGUGAAUAUCGCAGCAUAAUCGAUCGCGUUCACGGGAAAACGAAAACAAUAGAUGCGCGGAGGGUUUUGGCGUUUAGUACAGUCGGGUCUCCUGCCACCCACUUUACGCCCUCCCGUGUUUUCCAGUCUGUCUUCUAACCAAUUUAGAUUAUUUUUUGUUAGUGAUGAGUCUAUAGUAAGCACUAACUGCACUCAAAAAAUCAGCUGGAUUGGAUGCAACACAGCUGAGAAAUUGCGGUGGGCGUAAAGUGGGUGGCAGCGUCUAAUAGGAGACUCGGCUGUAUUGUGUUGUUCCUUGCUCCUGUAUGGAGUGAGUAUCGCAGCAUAAUCGAUCGCGUUCGCUAUUGUCUCGCGCAGAAACGAAAACAAUAGAUGCGCGAGUGUUUAGUGUUUAGUAUUGUAUUGUUCCAUGUUGUGAAUGCAUAUGGUUUGGUUUAUUGACGUAUCCUUUGUUGCGUUCAGAUUAUUCCUGCGUGGAAUGGGCCUCAUGUUUCUGCUCCCUGAUGGGGUGGAGACGCGCGACAGGAUUUUUUUUUUGCUAGAUACGUUUUCGUAUAGAAAAGUGGUCGAUUGUGCGCGAAAGUUAGUAUUUAUUGAUCCAAUGUCAAAUCACAUCACCAACUAUAGGUGACUCCCAGACUGACAAUGUACCCUACCCUACUAACCAAAAUUCCUUCCUGAGACAAACGUGGAAAUGCAGCGAUUCGCGGUCUUUAUAACAACGUUUGUCUCACUAACAUUCCCUCCCAUCCUCGAUGACCGUAAGGACGUGGCCGGCGCCGUUAUUGACCAUACUAAAGUUGAGAGCUCUCAAACUGUGUACAUUGAAAAUAGUAAGCUAGUUACAAGCCCUCUUCAUUGGUUCUUGGUGCAAGCUCUGGUCAAUCACGGAGUAGCAACUACGAAUUGUGCGUUCAUCUAUGCUCAUGCUCAGUGGGAUUUUUCAAAAAACUGAAAUAUUCCAUUUUGCUGUGUACCACUGCGCUAGGGCAGGGCAAGGCAGACAAGGAAAGAUUUGCAGUAAUGUUGCCUUUCCUUGUAUUUUUAUUCAAUUCAUAGUCGGUGGUGUAGGUACUCUGUAUAAAAUUUGCAUCCAGCCUGUGAUGGCGAUAUAUAAAAUCAUGUAUGCAUGCACGCACAUAAAAAGGUGACCUCGCUUCAUGCCAUUGUAUUAUUAUGGAAAUCCACUGAAUGUUAAUUUUAAAUAAAUUAAAAUUUUAAGUAUUAUGACAAUAACCGUAAACACAUUUCGUUUAUGAUUGUAAAAGACCCAAUAAGACAUGGCUCGAGAGUGCCCCUGAUACUCGAACUACGCACAUCACUCGAUCCAUCGUCGCAUUGAUCAGUCGUAUCAGUUUAUCCGAGAAUCCAUAUUCGUUCAUGAUCUGCUAUAGCUGGUCUCGAUCGAUUGUAUCAUAUGAAUUUUAUAUUCAAAUACUUGGAAUCUAAUAAAGUGAUCUCUAGUGUAAUCCAAUAAAAUAAUAGAUUUCUAAUGUGAUUUCUAAGAACUACAGCUUGAGGCAUUUUGGUGUAAGCCCUGGCGGGGGCUUAUGGGGGAAAUUAUAAUUUAGUUUCUUUUGAAAUUUCGAAACACGCAUACGAUACUCUCUUAAAUCUUAUGCCGCCGUCUAUCACCGAUUGAAAGAGAGUUCGUGCGGCAAUAUCAGGCUGGAUUCACGAGUGAACGCGCUCCAGCGGACCAGAUGUUCGUCAUGCGCCAGGUGUUGCAGAAAUUUCGCGAAAACAACGUAACCACACAUCACUUGUUCAUCGAUUUUAAAUCGGCGUAUGAGGUAUAAUUCGUGAAUCUCAAAUUUAAUUGUAUGUAGCCACCCUGAAGCAUAUUUUCAUUUCAUCCUCACACUUUUGAUUUUCAAAAAAAAAAAUCGUGUGGCCCGUAACCAUAACUUGGAAACCACUGAAUUUGAAUUUUGCAAAACAACUGUUGAAUUUUUGAUUGUUGGUUUGAUAGUGCCCUGAAAACCACAUCAAAUCCCAAACAUUUAUUACAAUCUAAGGAAUAUCAACAUGAUGGGAGAAGUCGUAUAUGUAGAACAUAUCAAACAGGUUUAUAAACAAAACAUGAAGUUUUCAAUGAAUUUAGUUUUAAAAAAUAAUUCAGUUUUAAAAUAUAAUUAUCUGUGCAAAAAUAUACUUUUUUGUAAUUACGUUGUGAAAAGUUGAACAUUUCAGUUGGCUGAAGUAUGCUGAAAUGGCCUACUUUUCACCCCUAAUGCAAGUGUGCCGAAAAGUACUACUUUUCGGCACUCUUAAGAGUGCUGAAAAGUAGCACUUUUAGGCACUUUUGCUCGAACGCACUUUUUACUUACCACCAUGCCUUCCGUAGAUUCAGCCUCUGCUUCUACAUCUACUGAGCAGCUUGAAUCCGAAUCAGGACGAUUUCAAUUCGGAUUCGAACUACAAAUCAAGUGUAGGUAGAGGCAGCUGCUGAAUCUGCUUUUGCUUUUGCCCGCGCACAACUGUUUGACAACGGGAGCUCGAUCGUUGGUGACGCCUACUACACCAGAGCCUACCUGUUCACACGAAAAACUACGCCGACACGCAUGAGCGCGCACGUGGUUCCUACUGAUACAUGUUUGUGUAGCUAGAUGGGUGUUUUUCGUUAUUACAAAAAACUUUGUAUGCAACUCGUUGCAAAACUCGAUUUUUUCAGCACUCGUCGUAUUUAUCCAACUCGGCAAGCCUCGUUGGAUAAAUGUACGACUCGUGCUGGAAAAAUCGUCAUUUUGCAGCUUGUUGCAUAAAUAACUAUUUACGGUCCGUCAUAAUAUUAUUAUAUGACACAAAGUAAGUUCGCUUCAUUUGAGUUGUUUUUGAUUUUUUUAUAAACUAUUUUAGAAAACAAAAGUUUAAACUACAUGAAAUUACAAGGGCAUUGCAUACUAUUAGGUGUUUAUCGGUGUAUAGAGAAUUCUGUCCCAAUUUACUAAAUUUAUUCCAAUAAGUAAGAGCACGCUUUGUUAAGAGACUCAAUGCCUGAUUUAUAAUCUGCUAUGAUCGAUUUACCAAAAAUUAAAUGAUUAUUCGUUGAAAAAAAUAGUCAAACACUGUUGUAGAGCAGAUUGUUUAAAAGCGUUGUCAAAUGGCAAAAAUAUCGACAUUUUUUGCCCAAAGAGUUUUAUUCAAGCUUGAUUACAAUAAAAAAAUCACUAAAAUUGACUUUCACGUGUAGUUUUGAUUCACAUUUGCUUUUUUUUGUAAAUGCAUUACAGUUUCAAAAGUUUGUUAUUGCGCACUUCACAAACUGACGCUCUUUCACGCACUAAAUCUAAAUAAUGCUGCCCCAAUUAACGAUGAAACUCAAUUUAUGCUCCCCCGCUUUGGGUCUAAUUUGAAGUUUUACUGUAAAGAUUAUUUGAAGACACAGAGACUGCGUAAGUCUACGUUUUCAAAACUGGAAUGCAAAAGACAUACUUUUUAGCAUUGUAUUGAUUUAAAAAUAUUUAACGCAGGAUUUCUUA